GGGUCAGUAGGUUGGUCGUGCCACCGGUACGUACUGGUCUCACUGAUUCCUCCUUCCUGAAGAACCGUAAUGCCAUUAAUUUGGUGUUGCGGGGAAACAGGACUGUUACUUUGAAAAUUUAGAGUGUUUAAAGCAAGCUAACGCUUGAAUACAUUAGCAUGGAAUAAUGAAAUAGGACGAUCGAUCCUAUUUUGUUGGUUUCUAGGAUUGACGUA
rnacentral:rRNA from 1 species